UGAAAGCACUUCGGUGUGAGUAGAGUGGCGGACGGGUGAGUAACGCGUGGGAAUCUACCCAGUAGUGGGGGACAACUACCGGAAACGGUAGCUAAUACCGCAUGCGCCCCAUGGGGGAAAGGCUUCGGCCGCUAUUGGAUGAGCCCGCGUCAGAUUAGCUAGUUGGUAGGGUAAAGGCCUACCAAGGCAACGAUCUGUAGCUGGUCUGAGAGGACGAACAGCCACACUGGGACUGAGACACGGCCCAGACUCCUACGGGAGGCAGCAGUGGGGAAUAUUGGACAAUGGGCGAAAGCCUGAUCCAGCAAUGCCGCGUGUGUGAAGAAGGCCUGCGGGUUGUAAAGCACUUUCAGUUGGGAAGAUGAUGACGUUACCAACAGAAGAAGCACCGGCUAAAUCCGUGCCAGCAGCCGCGGUAAUACGGAUGGUGCGAGCGUUAAUCGGAAUUACUGGGCGUAAAGCGCGCGUAGGCGGCUAAGUCAGUCAGAAGUGAAAGCCCCGGGCUCAACCUGGGAAUUGCUUUUGAUACUGCUUAGCUAGAGUUUGGUAGAGGAUAGUGGAAUUCCAGGUGUAGCGGUGAAAUGCGUAGAUAUCUGGAGGAACAUCAGUGGCGAAGGCGACUGUCUGGACCAAAACUGACGCUGAGGUGCGAAAGCGUGGUAGCAAACAGGAUUAGAUACCCUGGUAGUCCACGCCGUAAACGAUGUCAACUAGCCGUCGGGUCUAUUUACAGACUUGGUGGCGCAGCUAACGCGAUAAGUUGACCGCCUGGGGAGUA
rnacentral:rRNA from 1 species